rnacentral:rRNA from 1 species
CAUGAGCAGGUUGAAGGUUGGGUAACACCAACUGGAGGACCGAACCCGCAUCUGUUGCAAUAGAUUGGGAUGACUUGUGGUUAGGGGUGAAAGGCCAAUCAAACCUGGAGAUAGCUGGUUCUCCGCGAAAUCUAUUUAGGUAGAGCGUCGACCGAAUACCCUGGGGGGUAGAGCACUGGAUGGGCUAUGGGGACUCACCGUCUUACUGAUCCUAACCAAACUCCGAAUACCCAGGAGUACUAGUCGGCAGACACACGGCGGGUGCUAACGUCCGUCGUGAAAAGGGCAACAACCCUAAUCUCCAGCUAAGGUCCCCAAGUCAUGGCUAAGUGGGAAAGGAUGUGAGACUCCCAAAAACAACCAGGAUGUUGGCUUAGAAGCAGCCAUCAUUUAAAGAAAGCGUAACAGCUCACUGGUCUAAUUAAGGGGUUU